UACGGAGGGUGCAAGCGUUAUCCGGAUUCACUGGGUUUAAAGGGUGCGUAGGUGGGCAGGCAAGUCAGUGGUGAAAUCUCCGGGCUUAACCCGGAAACUGCCAUUGAUACUAUCUGUCUUGAAUACCGUGGAGGUGAGCGGAAUAUGUCAUGUAGCGGUGAAAUGCUUAGAUAUGACAUAGAACACCAAUUGCGAAGGCAGCUCACUACACGAAUAUUGACACUGAGGCACGAAAGCGUGGGGAUCAAACAGG
rnacentral:rRNA from 1 species